CGCAGCGCCGUUAACGGGAGCACCGGGAGCCUCAUCUUCCUGUUUGGCAGCUGACCCAUUCGUCUAGAUCUGGAAGGGUUCCUGAAUCAAACAUGCGUCUUCAAUUUGGGCCUGUGAAGAAAACAAUCACACUUUCCCCUCUUUCAGAUUCAGUUCCUGACAGCAGAUUGAGAUGUGGUCUCCACGAAGAAGUCUGGGUUUGACGGAAGUUUGGACUGAGUGUUUCAGGGGUCCUGAAUGUUAAUUGGGCUUAAAGGGAGAUGCUUGGCAGACUCUGGUAACCUGGUCCAAAACGUUGUAUAUUUUAGGCUGGUGGGAACAGAUUGAGGUAACGUGAGGUGGACCACCCAUGUCCUUUCUCUCCAAGAGAGCUGCACUACCAUUAAUUAGAGCCAUUCUCUGAGGUGGAUUCUGUGGCCGGGACACCUGUGAUCUCAGAAGUGGGCUUUCGCACACACAAAACGGCCCCUGAUUCAUGUUUAGUGCACCAGUGCCCAAUAAAAAUCACUUCCAGCUCCUGCAGACACCCAGAAAUCCUCCACAUAUGUUUCUCCACGUCAGAAAAACUGUGCUGUUGACACGUUAUGGAGGCGUGAAUAUUUUAAAGGGAAAGUUCCUCGCAAAAGUGAAAACUUGCUGAAAUUUUUACGCACCCUCCGGUCAUCCAAGAGUUUCUACAGCUGAACAGAUUUGGAGAAAUUCAGCAUUACAUCACUCGCUCGCAAAUGGAUGAAGUGAAUGGGUGCCGUGAGCAUGAGAGUCUGAACAGCUGAUACAUGUUUGUAAAAACAAAUGCAGAAUUGUUCAAAACCAUUGCUACAGACUAGAAUAAAAGUCCUUUAUCCAUAAUACUUCUUUCUCCAGUGAAAAACUUGUAUCGUCUGAAUCAGGAGAGAAAUAUGCAAAACAAGUGAAACAGUCCAAAACAGUUAAAAACAAAUAUGUGGUGUACUUUGAGGUGAGAGGACAAUGGGAGAUGGACUUUUUUAACCAGAGGAAGUGUUAUUUUGGAUUAUGGACUAAAAAAUAAGACUAAAAAAUGUCUUAAAAUAAUGAUUUCUUACAAACAUGCAGCUUUUCACUUCACAAGACGUUAAUUGAUGGACUGGAGUGGUGUGGAUGACUUGUGUAUUAUUGUGAUGUUUUUAUCAGCUGUUUAGACUCAUUCUGACGGCACCCGUUCACUGCAGAGGAUCCAAAUCUGUACUGAUGAGGAAACAGACUCAUCUACAUCUUUGAUGGCCUGAGUGUUUCCAGGUCUUCGGGGGUAACACUGGUGAAACAUGAAAUAUUUUACUGGAAUCCAACUGGAUAUAAAUGGGGCUUCAAUCUCUCUCUGCCGUGGUCUGGGGCCUUUACAGGGACUUUGAGGCGUUUUGCCUCAUGUGGAUACCGAUAAAUCUGUCACCCGCAGAGAUUCGUCUCCCUCCCUCUGUGGGGAACAAAUUGUGGCGUUCGGGGAGGGCUGGGGGGGAGAAGUGACCUGUCAGAGCGCUCCAUUUAUCACAGGGACAAAACGCUCCCGAUUCUUUCUGCUGACCGCCAGGAACCUCCUGCUAAGCACAUUCAGGAGAUGCAUGCUUCUGAAUAUUUUCACUGAAUCAAUACACCAAUUUGCAAGUGACGUCAGGACCUGAGGGUAGAGGGAAGUAGGGGAAUGAGACUAUUACAUUUCAGAUGUAUUUUUCAGAUUUAAUUAAUCGUAAUGAGAAGUUAUAGGGCUUAGUUUUAAAAACCCAACAAAUUCAUUGUAACGUUAAUUAUAUAACCAGAAGAUUUAAAACAAAUAUUCAUAAAUUUGUACAAGUAUGUAUGUAUGAUACGAUGUGUUCUUUCAGGAAAAACAGCAAUGUUAAACUUUUGCUGUUUUGAAACAAAACUUGAAUAAUUAGAACUUAUUUCUUUUUUAAUAAUUUAUCUAUUUUUCUUCCGUGUAAAAAAAAAUAUAGCACAAAAAAUCUUAGUUCAAAAUAGCUUUUCUUUGGAUUGAGGUAUGCGAGUGAUUAAAAAUGUUGUGUGAAAUCCUUUUUUUUAAUAUAUAUAUAUACUGUGCAAAAGUUUGAGGUGAUUUUUUUCUUAUUAUUUUAAAAGAAAUCUCUUUCAUUCACCAAGGUUGCAUUUGUUUAAAAAUACUGUAAAACUGGAAAUAUUUUGAAAUAUUAUUAUUAUAAUCUAACUUAAAUGGUUUCUUUUUUAAUAUAUUUUAAAAUGUAAUUUACAGGUGCAUCUCAAUGAAUUAGAAUGUCGAGGAAAAGUUCAUUUAUUUCAGUAAUUCAACUCAAAUUGUGAAACUCGUGUAUUAAAAAAUGCCAUGCACACAGACUGGAGUAGUGUAGUUUAAAUAUUUGGUUCUUUUAAUUGUGAUGAUUUUGGCUCACAUUUAACAAAAACAUCUCAACAAAUUAGAAUACUUCAUAAGACCAAUAAAAAAAAAUUGUGAAUUGUUUUCAUUCUGGAAAGUAUGUUCAUUUACUGUACAUGUACUCAAUACAUGGUAGGGGCUCCUUUUUCUUUAAUUACUGCCUCAAUUCGGUCAAUGAUCAGUUUGUGGCACUGCUGAGGAGGUGUGAAAGCCCAGGUUUCUUUGACAGUGGCCUUCAGCUCAUAUGCAUUGUUUUGGUCUCUUGUUUCUCUUUUUCCUCUUGAUAAUACCCCACAGAUUCUCUCUGGGCUUCAGGUCUGGUGAGUUUGCUGGAGUGUCAAGCACACCAACACCAUGGUCAUUUAACCAACUUUUGGUGCUUUUGGCAGUGUGGGCAGGUGCCAAAUCCUGCUGGAAGAUGAAAUCAGCAUCUUCAAAAAGCUGGUCAGCAGAAGGAAACAUGAAGUUCUCCAAGAUUUCUUGGUAAAUGGGUGAAGAAAAUACCACAACGGACCAAUACCAGCAGAUGACAUUGCACCCCAAAUCAUCACAGACUUAACACUGGACUUCCAGCAACUUGGGCUAUGAGUUUCUCCAGCCUUCCUCCAGACUCAAGGACCUUGGUUUCCAAAUGAAAUACAAAACUUGCUCUCAUCUGAAAAGAGGACUUUGGACCAAUGGGCAUCAGUCAAGUUCUUCUUCUCUUUAACCCAGGUAAGACGCAUCUGACGUUGUCUUUGGUUCAGGAGUGGCUUUACAAGAGGAAUACGACAACUGUAGCCGAUUUCCUCGACAGGUCUGUAUGCCUUGACCCCAGCCUCAGUCCAUUCCUUGUGAAGUUACUCAAAUUCUUGAAUCGAUUUUGCUUGACAAUCCUCAUAAUGAUGCAGUUCUCCCGGUUGGUUGUGCAUCUUUUUCUUCCACACUUUUUCCUUCCACUCAACUUUCUGUUAACAUGCUUGGAUACAGCACUCUGUGAAUAGCCAGCUUCGUUGGCAAUGAAUGUUUGUGGCUUACCCUCCUUGUGAAGGAUGUUA